UAAUAGGGUAUGUAAGUCUCGUCAUGUGACUUGCGAGAUUUCACGAUAUUUUGCACUUCCGGGUACAAACAAAUAUCAACAACAUUGCUUAUCUAUAUUGGGUAAUACUUGUAUGCCGGUGGGAAAGUAAAACUUACAUGGAAAAGCAAAUGAUAUGUGGAAAUUGGCAGAGAUUUUUGUUUUGUAACGAAAUGCAAAUGGUCUCAUCUUGUGAACAAGUAUCAAUGAAAGACAACUUCGUAUAAUCUUCAGGUAUGUGAUUUCAUGGUUGGAUCUUGAGUACUUGUCAUGGCUCUUGAUUUAUUUUGGAGUGUUCACCAUCAGAUUAGAAAUCAAAUAGUGAUACCACCAGGCAUAGUUGAAAGGAAAUGUCCAUACACAGUCUUGGAGUACAUAGUGGUAGAGACAUGGCAGUCCAUUACAGAUUUUGACUGAAUUAAAGCUUCUUAAAGCUCCAUGUCUUGUGUAAACUGUCUGACUGAAUGUUUGUAUUCUAAUAAAAACUAAGGUUGAAGACACUUCAAAGAUAUAUGUCAGUGUAAAAAUGUUAAACAAAAUAUCUGUCUUUGUAAGAAAUAAAUAACCUGUCUUUGUUAGAAAUAAAUAACCUUUCAUUUGUAACUUUGUAUUAACUUAAUUAUUCAAAGAUAAUUUAUCUUCUGCAAAUGGCUGCCCAAAACAGUUUCAACCAGGCAUCAUGUAGUUUCAAAACAGUUAAGAUAAAUUUGUUAUAAAUAGACUUGUAAAGUAACAGGAAUGGUAAAAAGAUUAAUGUUCAGCAUUAAAAUGUUUCUAUCUUGA